rnacentral:sRNA from 1 species
GCUGGGCAUGGUAGCGCACACCUGUGAUCCCCAUGGCUAGGAGGCUGAGGCAGGAGGAUCCUGAGUUCAAAGCCAGCCUCAGCAACUUAGUGAGGCACUAAGCAACUCACUGAGACCCUGUCUCUA